rnacentral:rRNA from 1 species
UACGAGGGGGGCGAGCGUUGUUCGGAAUUAUUGGGCGUAAAGGGUGCGUAGGCGGUUCCGCAAGUCCUGUGUGAAAUCUUCGGGCUCAACUCGAAGUCUGCACGGGAAACUGCGGGGCUUGAGUGUGGGAGAGAUGAGUGGAAUUCCCGGUGUAGCGGUGAAAUGCGUAGAUAUCAUUUGGAACGCCAAUGGUGAAAACAACUCGCUGGGGGUGUGCUGACGCUGAGACACGAAAGCCAGGGGAGCGAACGGG